CGACUGAGUGCUUGCACUUGGUCAAGGUGAGUGGCGAACGGGUGAGUAACACGUGGGUAACCUACCUCAUAGUGGGGGAUAACAGUCGGAAACGACUGCUAAUACCGCAUAGGACAUGGAAUCACAUGAUUCUGUGAGGAAAGGUGGCGCAAGCUAUCGCUAAGAGAUGGACCCGCGGUGCAUUAGCUAGUUGGUAGGGUAAAGGCCUACCAAGGCGAUGAUGCAUAGCCGACCUGAGAGGGUGAUCGGCCACAUUGGGACUGAGACACGGCCCAAACUCCUACGGGAGGCAGCAGUAGGGAAUCUUCCGCAAUGGACGCAAGUCUGACGGAGCAACGCCGCGUGAGUGAAGAAGGUCUUCGGAUCGUAAAGCUCUGUUGUUAGAGAAGAACAGCGCAUAGAGUAACUGUUAUGCGUGUGACGGUAUCUAACCAGAAAGCCACGGCUAACUACGUGCCAGCAGCCGCGGUAAUACGUAGGUGGCGAGCGUUGUCCGGAUUUAUUGGGCGUAAAGGGAGUGUAGGCGGUCUUUUAAGUCUGAUGUGAAAGCCCACGGCUCAACCGUGGAGGGUCAUUGGAAACUGGGAGACUUGAGUGCAGAAGAGGAGAGCGGAAUUCCAUGUGUAGCGGUGAAAUGCGUAGAUAUAUGGAGGAACACCAGUGGCGAAAGCGGCUCUCUGGUCUGUAACUGACGCUGAGGCUCGAAAGCGUGGGGAGCAAACAGGAUUAGAUACCCUGGUAGUCCACGCCGUAACGAUGAGUGCUAAGUGUUGGAGGGGUUCCACCCUUCAGUGCUGGAGUUAACGCAAUAAGCACUCCGCCUGGGGAGUAC
rnacentral:rRNA from 1 species